AUACCUUCGGUUUGACGAUUUAUUGUCUCGCCGGCGUUGGCGGUUUUGGGAUACGCGGGGCAACCCGCGCCAUUCUGCUUAAACACUGACAGCGGUCGAGUUUCCUACCCCAUCGAUUAGUAGAAAUAUUCAUCGUUUAAGGGUUUGAAAUUCUUCGCAAUACAAAAUAGGGCAGAUCCCCUCACAGGGCUAAACCCAUAA
rnacentral:misc_RNA from 1 species